rnacentral:rRNA from 1 species
UGGAGGUAGUGACAAUAAAUCACAAUGCGGGACUAUACGUCUUGCAAUUGGAUUGAGAACAAUGUACAACUCUUAUCGAUAAGCCAUUGGAGGGCAAGUCUGGUGCCAGCAGCCGCGGUAAUUCCAGCUCCAAUAGCGUAUAUUAACGUUGUUGCAGUUAAAAAGCUCGUAGUUGAAGUGUGGGUGAUCGCUAUUGUGAGACUUCGGUCUCUCGACAGUAAGUCACCCCCUUCCAGUAUCCAGUAGUGGGUAUUCACUUACUUACUACUGUGUGUUGGUCCUUUACUGUGAGAAAAUUAGAGUGUUCAAAGCAGGCGUUUGCUUGAAUAGAUUAGCAUGGAAUAAUAAUUGAAGGCUUUCGUGUUCGAUUUGAUUGGUUUGUUCAUGGAAGCAAGGUUAAAAGGAACAGUUGGGGGUAUUCAUAUUCACUAGUUAGAGGUGAAAUUCUCGGAUUUAUGGAAGAUGAACAAGUGCGAAAGCAA